AGAUGAGAAGGCACAGAUGUUAAGGAGAAUGCCAUGUGAAGACAUAGACAGAGAUUGGAGUUAUGCUGCCAAGGAAUAUCUGGAGCCAUCAGAAGCUGGAAGAGGCAAGGAAAGAUUCUCCACUGGAGUCUUCUGAGGGAUGCCAACAGGCUGCUUAGUUGAUUCAAGAGAAGACUAUGAGUAGGGAGAAAAGUUAAAACCCAGUCCCACAGAUUAAUCCAAUAAAGAAUAGAAGAGAAAAUUUAAUUUCAAAUUUUGUUAAUCAGAAUUACUUGGGGACUUGUUAACACAGAAGUCACUGAGCCCCAAUUCCAGAGUUUCUGAAGUCUGGGGAAGGCUCAAGAAUCUGUGUUUCUAUUAAGUUCACCACUGAUGCUGAUGCUGCUGGUCUGAGUGAAAUACAUGGAGAACCACUGACAAUGACCUCAGAGAACAUGUGUACACUUCUGAAUAUGCUUGAGACCUUAAGAUGUCAAUAUGGUAGUGGUUUUAACUUGGACAGGGUAUCCAAAAUGUGAUAUAAGUGCUAAGUCUUACCCAUCCAGAAAGUAGAGUUGAGAUUGUUGAUAAGUUUCUAUCUCAGGUAAGUGUCACGUAAGGAACUAGGGUUGGACUGAAUGUGUAACAAUGAGGUGAGCGCAUCGACUCGAAGUCCAGGUGGGAGAUAUUGGGGAGGGAAGACAUGCUUGAAAUAAAUCCAGGGGUCUGAAAUGUUCUACUCCUUCUGAGUGGAGAUAAGUGUGGCGCACAAUCUUUUAAAUAUACAAAGGACAGAAACACUGCUAGAACAUAAAACUGAAU
rnacentral:lncRNA from 10 species